CGCGGGGCAUGCGGGUGACUACCAUGCAAGUCGAGCGGUACAGGCGUAGCAAUUCGUGCUGACGAGCGGCGGACGGCCCCCACAAGGUUAGGAAUCUGUUCAGUAGUGGGGAACAACAAGGCUUAAAAGGGGCUAAUACCGCAUAAGAACAUCGGGGGAAAGCGGGGGACCGUAAGGGCUCGCGCUAUUGGAUGAGCCUAAGUCGGAUUAGCUAGUUGGUAGGGUAACGGCCUACCAAGGCGACAAUCCGUAGCUGGUCUGAGAGGACGACCAGCCACACUGGGGCUGAGACACGGCCCAGACUCCUACGGGAGGCAGCAGUGGGGAAUAUUGGACAAUGGGGGAAACCCUGAUCCAGCGACGCCGCGUGUGUGAAGAAGGCCUGCGGGUUGUAAAGCACUUUUAGUGGGGAUGAAAAGCACCAGGCUAAUAUCCGGGUGUCUUGACCUAACCCAAAGAAAAACACCGGCUAACUCUGUGCCAGCAGCCGCGGUAAUACAGAGGGUGCGAGCGUUAAUCGGAAUUACUGGGCGUAAAGCGCACGCAGACGGUUCUGUAAGUCGGGUGUGAAGGCCCCGGGCUCAACCUGGGAACUGCAUUCGAGACUGCAUUACUGGAGUAUGGGAGAGGGCAGUGGAAUUUCCGGUGUAGCGGUGAAAUGCGUAGAUAUCGGAAGGAACAUCAGUGGCGAAAGCGACUGCCUGGCCCAAUACUGACGUUCAUGUGCGAAAGCGUGGGGAGCAAACAGGAUUAGAUACCCUGGUAGUCACGCCAUUAACGAUGACAACUAGAUGUCGAGAGGGUUAGCCUCACGGUGUCGCAGCUAACGCGUUAAGUUGUCCCGCCUGGGAGUACCGGCCGCAGGUUGAAACUCAAAGGAAAUUGACGGGA
rnacentral:rRNA from 1 species